rnacentral:lncRNA from 1 species
UGAGCCGUCCAUAUUCGCCAUUUUGUCAUUUGUCCUUUAAGUAAGAAAAUGCAAACAAAACAUUAUUUGCCCUAAACACGCGUUACUCUCAGAUAAUAUUGCCGAAUGCCGACAAAGUGAUCUUGUUUUAUCAAACUGAACUCCGAACUGCAAUUGCAAUGUAAUUUUCCGAUAGCGAAAGUGAGGUUAUGAAAUUGACAUGACAUUUAGUGAAUGCAAUGCAAUGGACAUGUGUUUUGUUGUGUUUCUCAUCAAGAUAAUAGAAGAAUCUAGUGCUCAUACUCAUGAUCUAAUGAGCAAACAGCCCAUGCAAAGGAUGUCUUAUCGGGCUAUGCCUCAAUUGAUAAAGUGAACUAAUUGCCUACUUCAAAAGCAGUUUUGCAUGAAAGUUUCAACAUCUAAUUGGAAUUUCUCUGGAAAGUUUACAAUGCCCGAUAUUUCUACACAUCUGCCACAAAUUUAUGGAAAUCAAUAUUUAUAGAAACUGAACAUACCUUGGUUAAACGUAUAUGAAAUGGGUAACCAUCCUCGAAGAACAUCAACCAGCUGUCGGCAAUGUGCAGGUGGACUGAGGAAUUUUCCGGUGUGUCUUUUUAUGGACUGUACUCCGUCUUAGCACAAUUCCCAAGUUUUACCCGAGAGGCCACGCUUCAGGUUGGACCGUCUUCCAUAUAUCUACUGACUUCAUAUAAAUGAAAGUGUACUAAGGACUCGCUGAUCUGCACUACCAGCUCAUGUUCAACGUUACUGAACAACAAAGUAAUCCGACAAUCAGACUGGACCCGGUCACGUUAGAUACCAGAGGAAGACGAAAAUAUAAUUGAUUCUGUACUGAUGCAUGACUUCGCUCGGAACGCGGCAAGAAUUAACAAUGGAAGAAAAUACUACAGACGUGUUUAUUAACAAUAAAGUUAUUUUUGUUUUUAUGAAAUAGCGAUUGAAUAAAAAUAUUAGG